AUGGUUUCGGCAUGCAAGAGGGUAUUUUCCCCGGUGCCUAGCGGGAGAGGACAUAGCUUGCGAUGUUGAUGAGGUCCUGUGGCCAGACCCCAACAGACGGCGGGAUCCAUGAGCCCACUUAUGCACACUUGUCAUGGUUUUUUGUGUUUACAGUAUAGUGUUUUUUCUAUUGCAGUAUUAUUGUGUUGUGUUUUUUUUUUUGUUUUUUUUUGCUUCAUCUGAAUUCAUGGUACUGCAAUGUACACUAUUGAGUAGGUCUAUUUGCAUUUUUGGUUGUUUGGAAAUGUGUCUCCUGUAAAUGUGCCUUCUGAAUACACAAUGGAAUUCAAGGACUGCAGUGUUUUAUGUAAAGAAGACUAGUGUGUUCCCCCUGAUCUGUAAGUGUUUGCAUAUGAUGCAAGUAUGUGUCAUUUUGUCAACAGAGUUACAUUUUGACAGAGGAAUGUUAGGUUUUGACAGCAGAGUUUAGGUUUUGGGAGUGGAGUUCCAUUUUGGCACAGAUGUGUAUGGUAUCCCAGUGUUGUGUCAUGUUUACUUGUGUUUAGAGUUUUGGCACAAUGAGCGACGUUUUGCAAAAUGUGUUCAAGCAACGGGCAAAAACUGUAAAUGCUAAAAACACCCUUAACAGUCCUGAACGUGUGGAUUACCACAGCAAUUUGUCAGCAUUUCUAAGCUUUAAAUAAAGGUCUAACAGUCAGUUACUCUUUUCUUUUCUUUUUUUGUAAAUGGCCUGUAUUUAUAUAGGCCAUUUUUGUGGUCAGACUGUGUUAUGAACAUACAGUUUUCACAAUCUGCCCUUUGUAUAAGCUGUAAUAAUAUUUCACUCCCACUGACAUCUGAGGAUUUGAUCCCCAUAGUGCUUUGCUGAGAUAAUGUACUUAACCUGGCACAUCUCAUGUAACUACUUCAGCCCUCUACUACUAAUUCCUAGUGCAUAGCCUAGUAGUGCAUAAAAACUCAGAAACAGUAUUUCCCAGAAAUGUCACAAUUUUCUCCAUAUUUCUGGUUAAAGGUUUGUAUGACUUGCACACUGCUCAUUUUAACUUUCUCAGUAACUAUAUUACAUGGGCUCAGACUCCGAAUGCUGACAAGUGAAGUGCCCAUUUUAGUUUUCCUGUAAGAAAAGUGUUAAUGUUUCUGGUCUGCAGUUCCUUUGAAAUCAUUUCCUUUUAACUCACAAUUACUUUUCAGUACUUUUUCUUUUUUUCUUAGUUUUUCUUAAUUUCUUUUUAAACAAAGCAGUCAUUGUUCUCUACACAUACUUUUUUCUUUAGAGUAUUAGUUCUUUUCCCUCUUUGCUUUUUAAACAUGAGUUAUGUGUUAGAAAGUGUAGUUUCUUUGACUCAUCCCUUAUUCCCAGAAGAACUUAACUCAAUUCAAGCUGCUAAGGCUUUUGCACACAGAGGCAGUGGUAGUGUUCAGGAAAAGGUCACAGUAAAACCCUUAAAUAGCACAUGAAAUUGUAGCCCCUCACUUACCAGAUGUCUGAGAGGUGUCUGAUUUCUACCAGGGCUGCGUUGCUCUGUUUUGAGCAUAAGAGUUAUACUAAUGCUUAUUUUGCACAUCAUGAAGAGCACACAUGGUAUGACAGAUGAGGUCAGCUUAAUUCAGAUUCUAAAAUAUUAAAGAGGUUUUGUUUGUGCAGUGCUGAUGCAUCUUGGUCUUAUUAGGUACACUGUUAAGUCAGCCAAAGAAACCCCUUGGCCCCUGUUCAAGGGGGUGAAGUCUUCUAAUGGAAAUAACUUUUAAGCCUCAGUGAAUCAUUUCUUAACAAGCCUCACAGUUCAGCCUCGAAGAAGAAGUUUUACUUCUCAGAUUCGCUGAGGUAUUUUGAUGAAAUAGCAUUACAAAAUGCAAAAACAAUGAAGUUAAAAACGUUAAGAGAUUCCAAUGAUUUGAAAAUAGUACACAGAACACUCUUUCUGUUUUAAAACAGAAAUGUAUUUAUUUAUUUUCGAAAAACAAGAGGUUUCUAUGAAGAGUGUCUGGCCUCUCCCUUAGAGAUAGGAUGAAGAGUUCAAUCAUUUAUGAAUAGCUCUGACCCAAGACAAUUUGGAGAGAUUAUAUUUCUUAAGGCUGGAAUGAGAACGCCUUGGUGUUCCCUCAGAUACACUAAAGCAGGUGAUUGGGGAAAGGGAAGUCUGUGUUUUUCUGUGGUGGAAGCUGCCCUGGAAGAGCAUAAAUGGACAGAUGGAUUCGUUCACUAUGUUAGGACAUGUGGGAACAAGGGCAAAUCUUUCAUGUCCUAUUUCUCUGGAAAAGGCCCUUUGCUUGCUCAGCUACUUGCUAGUGGAGCCACAGGCUACAAUGCCAAAUAAUACUUGCCUGUAAUGUGCUUCACAGCAUUGUCACAAGACAUAAUGUUCCCCUCUGCGAUAAUGUUUAUGAUGCACCUGAGCCUGAUGAGGACCCAGAAAAUCCUCCUGCAAUCCCUCUGACUAGGGAGAUGCAGCUGUUCAAAAUUACUCUUAAGUGUUUUGUUCAACUAAUCAAGUUGGUCCUAUAAAUUCAGCAUUGGCACUGCUGGUGGGUGUCAGGAACCAUUAUGGUGUAUUUGUAGGACUGAGUCACAAUGGGCUGGGGUGUUAGGAGGACAGCAGAGUUAGUUAAAUUCAGAUGGAAGAAGGCCAAGUCAAGAAGGGACCAUGCUGAAGCCAAAAACACUCAAACUGGUGACAAAUCUUACCAGAGCACAGACUACAGAGAUAUGGUCCUUAAUAUUAUUGGAGGUGCAAACUGACAAACUUUGCAUGGGAUUCAAAGUACUGUAAGUGAUGCUGAGCCCACAAAUGUAGAGAAAACCGAUCCAGUUCUUUCUAAUGAAGAGGACACACUUGUUCUUGUUGUGGACAGUGGAUCACCUCUGGUAGAACCAGCAUCUACUGCAUCAGAAGGCUGGCGUCUGGUUCCUGGUCCCCGCUUCGAUCUCCACACCUGCUCAUCAUCACUCACCUGCUGCUCAUCAUUCAUGAUUGCUCCUGCCAUUAUUUAAGGCCACACUGGAGUGCUGGUUUUUUCUGGGUUGUUGUACUCACCUUGCCUUAGACACUGAGUGAGUGUGACUGAGUCACAGACUGUGUGAAGAGGAGUGUCCUGGACCUGCCCCUGGAUUUGUGUUAGAGUCCUGCCUGACAUCUGUGACAACAUAGUCUUUGAAAUUGUGUAACUUCUUUUUUAAAGAACACCUUCAUAUGCCAUAUUGUUUAUAUUUAUUAGUUGUUUAGUCAGUGGACUGAAAGUUACAAAGAAAGUUACCACCAGAGCUCUUCUUUGUAACACUUGAAAUAAACACACUUA